CCUACGGGAGGCAGCAGUAGGGAAUAUUGCUCAAUGGGGGAAACCCUGAAGCAGCAACGCCGCGUGGAGGAUGAAGGUUUUCCGAUUGUAAACUCCUUUUGUUAGAGAAGAUAAUGACGGUAUCUAACGAAUAAGCACCGGCUAACUCCGUGCCAGCAGCCGCGGUAAUACGGAGGGUGCAAGCGUUACUCGGAAUCACUGGGCGUAAAGGGCGCGUAGGCGGGAUAGCAAGUCAGAUGUGAAAUCCUAUGGCUUAACCAUAGAACUGCAUUUGAAACUGUUAUUCUAGAGUAUGGGAGAGGUAGGUGGAAGUCUUGGUGUAGGGGUGAAAUCCGUAGAGAUCAAGCGGAAUACUCAUUGCGAAGGCGACCUGCUAGAACAUAACUGACGCUGAUGCGCGAAAGCGUGGGGAGCAAACAGGAUUAGAUACCCCAGUAGUC
rnacentral:rRNA from 1 species